rnacentral:lncRNA from 1 species
GCACUUCCCCAACUGAAGCUCCUUUCUCUGUGAUAACUCCAGCCUGGGUCAAGUUGACACACAAAACCAGCCAGUACAGCAGGGAAAAAAAUUAAUCUAAGCAUAGCAUUCCUCCCUUCCCGUCUACUUGUAAGGCACGGCUUCGAAGCUGGCAGCUAAGACUCCUUGCACUUUCCUGAAGUGUGGGCUUAACCCAGGAGGCGUCUUGGUUCCUGGAGAACCUUGGCUCCUGGGGUUUUUUCCUGUCAGGCAUUGUCUGUGCAAAGUCCAUAUCUGUGCAAAGCCCGUGGUGUUUAAACUAGAACUCUGUCUCAUGUCACCUGAUUCAUACCAUCUGGAAAAAAAACCCCCGGCAACAAGAAGCACCAUGAGUCACCUGGAAAGCCGCAAUGAAGGAUUUUCCACAGAAAAUUGACAAAGUGGAUUACGUACACAAAGGGAAGGGAAGAGCAGUAACCCAGUUUUGUGUAACAUUUAUGGUUCGCAGAGCUGCUUUCCUGUAACUGUCUUAUUUGAUAUAAUCAUCCUAACGACCGAAUCUGUUUAUGCUUUCCCGCAGUGGCUUGGGUUUUUUAAGUUUGUUGGCAAGCCAGCUAUUUUAGGUCUGAGUACAUCUAUCCCUGCAGACUUGUAUAAUCCUGGGCUAUUUAGUUGAGAAACGAUUAUGAGUCUAGGCAUUAUGGUAAACCACAGGUGAUUUUGGUGGCUGGUAUUUCAGGGACCUGAGGCUACAGGAAGCGAAUGUUCUGACAAGUUUCCCUCUUGGAACAAAUUGGUGCAAACAUCUUGGUCACCGCAGUCCAUAAAGAGUUAGUGAAGCAGGCUGGGUUUAGCAGACCACAGUUAGGCACGGCCUUUAAACCUGAGUGCACACAUUGGCCACUGUGCAACGUGUGCCAUGUGAGUUUUAGCAGAGGGAGAAGCGUGUGGGGUUUGGGGUGGGGGAGGUGAGAGGAGGAUGGUAUAUAUACAGCUAGCAGGGCGUACAUUGAGAUAGGCUAUUCUAGUUCAUUCUCAGAGAAGUUACAAGACUACCUGACAGUUUACUUUCCCAGUCUUAAAAUGGCGAUAAGCUGUCCGGUCCAUCUCACAGUGUUGUUGUGACAGCCAAAUUAAGGGGGAUCAAGGUAUUUUGAAAAAGGUAAAAAGUGUUCUAGAGACAUGAACACUUUGUUUGCUUGCUUGUUUAGCGAUGCCUGGAAUCCAGCCCAGGUCAUUGCCCUUGCUAGGCAAAUGCUUCACCACCGUGCUCCAUCUCCAUCUCACAAAGCACCGCUGUGCUCUCGACUUCCUCUGUGCUCCCAUAGUCAUUUCCAGUUACAAACAGCUCAAAGUUGAAAGGUGAUCCUAUCUUCCCGUUCCCUGUGUCCUGCUGCGCUCGGGCCUGAGACACAGCGCUCCCAGCCGUUGCUUAUGAAUCCUAGGAGGAAUCGGUUUCCCUGGCCUUGUAUGUACCCCGUUGGCGGUGACGUAGGAGUUAGGAUCACAGGGCUGCAGCGAGGAACAAUGCUUCGUGAAGAUGAGCGAGCCGCAACUUCCCCUCUCAGACUUGCCCUUCCCUUUUCUUGCUUUUAUGACUUUAUGACCACUUCAGCAAGAGUUCCAAAAGUGAAACAUGUCACAAAUGAACAUCAGGUGCUGCUGAAAGACCAGUGUGCCGAUGAACUAGAUAGAAAUCUGGCCUGCGUUGGACUGGAAGCAGACUGUCUACUUGCUGGCCUCUCUGGCCAUUUACACCAACCAGCAUCCCAUCAGAGUGCCCAUUAAUGCAUUUCCACUUGUAUCCAUUCAAUAAGUAAUUAAAUUCUUACGUUGUUCCAGGAACUCUGUCCUUCAUAGGUUUCAAAACCAGUAUGCACUGCUCUUUCAGAAUUUUGUAAACCAAUUACAAAUCGGGCAUUAUCGGAACCUCUUUGUGAAGGAUCGGCUCCGGCCAGAGGAACAUGGCCGUGCUGUGGAAUAUGAGGGUGGUGGCGGGUUCUGAUUGCUGUGUUCCUUUAUGCUAGCUGAGGCUCCUGUUGGUCUUUAUUCAAGAGCCACUCACAGGAAUAGGAAAAGCUAACACACAAGAAAGAUAUGGAGCUGCGGGCUGUGUUUUUGCUCAGCACCUCACUCCAGUAAAGUGGGCUGGCUAACUGAGGAAGGGCCAAAAGGAGGAACAGGCCCAUCUAACAUCUCCUAUCCUGACCUGCAGCCCUAGGUUAAGGAGCCUGAAAGAGAAGUAGGGAAGGGACGUGAGACGCUUACUGCAUGUCUGUAGUGUACUGGGCUAGAAGCUGAGAGUCCUAUAUAUAGAUUAUUACAGAAAUGGUUCUCUCAGGGCCAAGGCAUUGAACUAGGGAAGCUGACACUGGAAGAAUCAUCACCAUCACCAUCACCAUCACCAUCAUCACCAUCACCAUCACCAUCAUCACCAUCACCAUCACCAUCCUCGUCAUCCUUGAGCAGAGCUUCUGUGAGGAUGUAUAUCAUGGAGACUUGGGUUUGAGUAGCAGAAGGAAAGG